UUUAAAUUUGUCUUUAGUUUUCAGAUGUUUUAUUGUUAUGUAUUUGGGCAUGGAUUUAUUUGGAUUUAUCCUGCUUGGAGUUUGCUCAAUCUCUUAAAUUUGUCAACUUAUGUCUUUUGCCCAAUUUGGGAAAUUUUCAAUCAUUUUUUCUUCAGAUAUUUUUGGGCACCACACUCUCUUUUCCAUUGAGUCUCUGAUCACAUUAAUUUUAGAUUGUUAUCGUCCCACGUGUUUGUGAGAUUCUAUUCAUUUUAAAGUCUUAUUUUCUCCUUAUUUAGGAUAAUUUAUAUUGAUCUAGCCUCAGAUUCAUUGUUUCUAAUGUUGUCUCCACCUGCUAUUCAACCCAUUCAGUGACAGCUUCUUUUUAUUCACAUAUUUUAUUUUUCAGUUCUAAAUUUUGUGGUAAGUUUUCUUUUUUUUUUUUAAGAAAAUUUUUUUUUUAUUAUACUUUAAGUUUUAGGGUACAUUUGCACCUUGUGCAGGUUAGUUACAUAUGUAUACAUGUGCCAUGCUGGUGCACUGCACCCACUAACUCAUCAUCUAGCAUUAGGUAUAUCUCCCAAUGCUAUCCCUCCCCCCUCCCCCCACCCAACAACAGUCCCCAGAGUGUGAUAUUCCCCUUCCUGUGUCCAUGUGAUCUCAUUGUUCAAUUCCCACCUAUGAGUGAGAAUAUGCGGUGUUUGGUUUUUUGUUCUUGCGAUAGUUUACUGAGAAUGACGUUUUCCAAUUUCAUCCAUGUCCCUACAAAGGACAUGAACUCAUCAUUUUUUAUGGCUGCAUAGUAUUCCAUGGUGUAUAUGUGCCACAUUUUC
rnacentral:lncRNA from 10 species